UACGAAGGGGGCUAGCGUUGCUCGGAAUUACUGGGCGUAAAGGGAGCGUAGGCGGACAUUUAAGUCAGGGGUGAAAUCCCAGAGCUCAACUCUGGAACUGCCUUUGAUACUGGGUGUCUUGAGUGUGAUAGAGGUAUGUGGAACUCCGAGUGUAGAGGUGAAAUUUGUAGAUAUUCGGAAGAACACCAGUGGCGAAGGCGACAUACUGGAUCAUUACUGACGCUGAGGCUCGAAAGCGUGGGGAGCAAACAGG
rnacentral:rRNA from 1 species